rnacentral:rRNA from 1 species
AAUCAACGCUGGCGGCGUGCCUAACACAUGCAAGUCGAACGCGAAAGCCCCGCAAGGGGCAAGUAGAGUGGCAAACGGGUGAGUAACACGUGGGUGACCUGCCUUAGAGUGGGGGAUAACGUCCCGAAAGGGACGCUAAUACCGCAUAACAUCCUGCCUUUGAAGAGGUGGAGAUCAAAGCCGGGGACCGCAAGGCCUGGCGCUCAAAGAGGGGCCCGCGCCUGAUUAGCUAGUUGGUGAGGAAUGGCUCACCAAGGCAACGAUCAGUAUCCGGCCUGAGAGGGCGGACGGACACACUGGGACUGAGACACGGCCCAGACUCCUACGGGAGGCAGCAGUGGGGAAUAUUGGACAAUGGGCGCAAGCCUGAUCCAGCGAUGCCGCGUGUGUGAAGAAGGCCUGCGGGUUGUAAAGCACUUUCAGUAGGGAAGAAAGCCGAGUGCUAAUAUCACUCGGUCUUGUACGUUACUUACAGAAGAAGCACCGGCUAACUCCGUGCCAGC